rnacentral:rRNA from 1 species
ACAAGCUGGCGGCAUGCCUAACACAUGCAAGUCGAACGAGACCUUCGGGGUCUAGUGGCGCACGGGUGCGUAACGCGUGGGAACCUGCCUUUAGGUUCGGAAUAACAGUGAGAAAUUACUGCUAAUACCGGAUGAUGUCUUCGGACCAAAGAUUUAUCGCCUUUAGAUGGGCCCGCGUUGGAUUAGCUAGUUGGUGGGGUAAAAGGCCUACCAAGGCGACGAUCCAUAGCUGGUCCUGAGAGGGAGAUCCCCCACACUGGUACUGAGACACGGCCCAGACUCCUACGGGAGGCAGCAGUGGGGAAUUUUGGACAAUGGGGGCAACCCUGAUCCAGCAAUGCCGCGUGAGUGAAGAAGGCCUUCGGGUUGUAAAGCUCUUUUGUCAGGGAAGAAACAGCAGCUCUAACACAGUCUGCGAAUGACGGUACCUGAAGAAUAAGCACCGGCUAACUACGUG